rnacentral:rRNA from 1 species
GACGAAUGCUGGCUGCGUGCUUAACACAUGCAAGUCGAACGGUGAAGGGGAGCUUGCUCCCCGGAUCAGUGGCGAACGGGUGAGUAACACGUGGGCAACCUGCCCCUCACUCUGGGAUAACUCCGGGAAACCGGGGCUAAUACCGGAUACGACCGGGAGCGACAUCGCUCCUGGUGGAAAGAACUUCGGUGAGGGAUGGGCCCGCGGCCUAUCAGCUAGUUGGUGGGGUAACGGCCCACCAAGGCGACGACGGGUAGCCGGCCUGAGAGGGCGACCGGCCGCCCUGGGACUGAGACACGGCCCAGACUCCUACGGGAGGCAGCAGUGGGGAAUAUUGCGCAAUGGGCGAAAGCCUGACGCAGCGACGCAGCGUGAGGGAAGAAGGCCUUCGGGUUGUAAACCUCUUUCAGCGGGGACGAAGCGAAAGUGACGGUACCCGCAGAAGAAGCACCGGCUAACUACGUGCCAGCCGCCGCAGUAAAAC